UUGAAGAUUUAUUGAUUUUGCUUUUAGCCUCCUAAAUGAAAAGAUAGAUAGAACAGGUCUUGUUUAAAAAGUAAAUUCAAAACCUACUUAUCUACCAGCAACA